UGCUGGCCAUGUUUGAAGUCAUUACCCUUAACCGUAAGGAGGGGGAUGCCUAAGGCUAGGCUUGCGACUGGAGUGAAGUCGUAACAAGGUAGCCGUACUGGAAGGUGCGGCUGGAUCACCUCCUUU
rnacentral:ncRNA from 1 species